GAUGAACGCUGGCGGCGUGCCUAACACAUGCAAGUCGAGCGAGAAGCUCAUGACGGAAUCUUCGGAGGACGGAUUGAGUGGAAAGCGGCGGACGGGUGAGUAACGCGUGGGUAACCUGCCCUGUACAGAGGAAUAGCCAUUGGAAACGAUGAUUAAUGCCUCAUAAGACUACAGUAUCGCAUGAUACAGUAGCCAAAACUCCGGUGGUACAGGAUGGACCCGCGUUAGAUUAGCUAGUUGGUAAGGUAAAGGCUUACCAAGGCGACGAUCUAUAGCCGACCUGAGAGGGUGAUCGGCCACACUGGAACUGAGACACGGUCCAGACUCCUACGGGAGGCAGCAGUGGGGAAUAUUGCACAAUGGGCGAAAGCCUGAUGCAGCAACGCCGCGUGAGCGAAGAAGGUCUUCGGAUCGUAAAGCUCUGUCCUAUGGGAAGAACACAAUGACGGUACCAUAGGAGGAAGCCCCGGCUAACUACGU
rnacentral:rRNA from 1 species